ensembl:lncRNA
GUAACAAAAAGCACCUUUUUAUCCUCCAGCUUGUUUUACAUUGCAAUAGACCAUUGUUAUUGUAACCCAGCGGAGCAUGCAGAGGCUUUCUGCGCCGGUUCAAAAAAAACCUGUUUAAACAUUUGUUUUUAAGGCAUUCAGGGGCGAUGAUCAAUGCGCUGUUUUGUUUUUCCGCCGGCUGGGGGUAUCGCUGCUCGGUGCGGUUGGCUGAAGGCUCCCAGUGCCAUUCCCGCUCCCCACAUGUGUCCGUACGGAUGACUACAGAAAGCAAGCCCCGUCCCUUGCCAUUAGCUGAAACACGGAGAGAAAGGCAGAGCAAGGCAGCACAGCGAUGCCGCGCAGCCCCUACCCUCACGGCAACAUUACAUAGGUUGUUACACAUUUAUAAAGGGAGCACAAACACCGUAAAGUUUGGGCAGCCCUUUCCUUGGGGCACAAAGCGCAAUUUUUAGAAGAAAAAUAGACUUACCUUUUAGGGGAAAAAAUAUAUAUAUACACGUAAAAAAUCCACCUCUUACUACGCUGUACGGCUUUGGUACUUAGAGAUGUUAGAGCAGACAAGUGUCGGAUUUCCCGAUGUCAAGCAGAUCUCCUAAUUUUUCAUAUCCUCCUCCUGUGGCGAUUUUGGGGCCAGAUUGGAGAGGAAGAGGUUCGGAGCGCUGCCCUGACCCCUGGGAGCCAGCUGCCGCACCCGGGCACCCCGGCGCGGGGCUUCAGGAGUUAAUGGAAGUUGGUGGGGCCAGGAGCCGCGCUUUUUGCAGCCCAGGUUUGCAGCGGCAUAAUUAUGUUCAACCGCUGUUGUUUGAAAAGGGCAAGCGGCAUCUUAGGCACAGAACAAUGAAAUUACAGCUGAGAUUUAGGUUAGCAAAAGCCGUCUUCUGCAAGGCUUUUAUGAUUCAUUAUUUCCCAUUAAAUACAGUAUUAGAAGUGUACACCAGAUAGCUCAUGGUUGCUGCGCUCAGAGCACAUUAUCUAUAUUACACAGGUCUGGGGAGCAGAAUUAGAAAACUUUGGGGGAAUGAGCAAUAUGUGUUUGCUGAUAGAAGUACCAUAUGGCUCAUCUUCCUCAAUUGCUUUCAUUGCGACUCCGAUGCUGGAGAAAUUAAAGUUUUAU